ensembl:lncRNA
GGUAGCUCUCUUCUACCAUCUGAUGUCAGAUGUCUUCUCUGGUGUACUGUCCAGCAUUCCUGUUGUUGCUUCUGUGAUAGCUGGAAUGAGUCCAUUCUAGACCCCUCUUAGCUUCUCCGAUGGAAUAGGUCAAUGUAGAAAGUGACAGGAGGGGGGGUUGUGGUGUCCGGGGCAGUGGUGUGGAUCAAAAAGGGGGGGAAAUUUUAUUGUUUUUUUAUUGAUUGUAUUGGUUUUGAUGUGAUUCAAUAAAAAAAUUUCACAACAAAAAAUAAAGUGAUAAGAGACAGCGAGGAACCACACCUUAAUACAGUAAACAAUAUUAGAAGAUGUAUACUUGGCAAUUAAGGACACUUUAUUUCAAUGAUCUUUCAGUAUUCUUCUGUACAAAACACAAAUCAAAUUUGUAAUGAGAAUCCUUCAUAUUACAUACUGUGAAUGACUAGAAGUGAAGUAAAUUGAAAUUAAGUUUGAACCUUACUCUCUUAUUGCUCUAUUCAUCAGAUCCACUUUAGCCGACAUCUGCAUAGAGGUUGUUUUGGCGGUGUCGGAGGUGAACUGCGUUAGAGCUGUCAAAUCCACAAGGGCUCCUGGCAUUAUACCUCCAUCGGACAUUGCUAUUGGCUGCACAGCGUCACAUUAAGAGAAAUCCCAUGUAGCCUUGUUUACAAGUUCGAACACUAGAAUGGAGAUGUAAUCUUCACCUCGAUUAGGCUGAUAGAAAUCCUCAUUAUUUAGAUUAAUGAUUUUCAAUUAGAGCAUCAUUAUUUCUAUAUAGCCUACACUUUCUUAUUCUGUCCUUCUAACGCCAGUGGGACGGUGUGGCUUCAUGACAGUGAUCAAGAGCAGCUGCUCACCGAUUUGACUGCUCUAAUGCAGCUACACCUCCGACACUGCCAAAACAUCAGCCAUUUUUCUACCCAAGCCUUUUUUCACUUUAGUGGAUAAGCUUAUAUCUUUUUGGGGGGAGCGGUGGGAGUCCAAGAAUACAUAAAGCAUUCCUCCAGAGAGAUAGAACACACAAGUCCUUCCUAACUUUAUGCAUUAUUGCUGGUCAUCGACUAUACAAAAUAUUGUUUACUGGCUUCGCACCCCAGAAACUGACUUGUGUCAAACAGAAGUCAACCCCUAUUUCUCUUCCUCUUUGUCAGCUUUAGUCACCUCCAAUCUUACUAUUUCAGCUUCGCGCUACACAUCCAAUCCAAUUGUUGUCAAUAUUCUUAAAAUGUGGCCUUAAUUCCGUCAACACUUUAAAUUCUGUGAAUUCUCUAAGUUCCUAUAUGUAAUAAUCACCUCUUCCUUUCAGCCAAACUGGAUUCAGCUUGAAGUCUGUGGCAGAGGAAUGGCCUUACUAAGUUUAAUGGCCUUUAUAUUGAUGGCACCUUUACAUUUGAUAGCGAGGUCAUCAACAUUGGCAAUCUACCCCAUUCAAGUGUAUUUAGGUAUUUCCAAAUGUAGGUAUUUUUGAGAUAAUCAUGUCCUUUGAUAACCCAUCACUUAAUAAAAUUAGAUCUGGGCGGGAAAAGGAACUUGGUUGAGAGACCUUGGACGAAGUCUGGAAUAGUGCCUUGCGUGGGGUAAAUGGAAGCUCCUCUUGUGUCCGGCUCAGCUUUAUACUUCACUGUAUCCAUUUCAGUAAGGCCAGGCUCUCCAAAUUCUACCCAAAUAUUGAUGGUACAUGUGACAGGUGUAAAAGCUCUUUGGCACACUUGACUCACAUAAUGUGGUUUUGUCCCUGUCUGGCAGACUACUGGUUCACUAUAUUUAAAACACUUUCUGAAGCAUUUGAUAUAGAGUGGCAGCCUAGUGCAGAAAUUGCUAUUUUUACCAAACAACAAUCCUUCCCUGACCAAUAGACUGCUAGAUGCCAUUGCCUUUGCCUCCCUGUUGGCACACAGAAGGAUUAUAUUGGAUUGGAAAUCUAUCAACCCUCCCUCAGCCUCUCUUUGGCCCAACUAAUUUUCCUAAAAUUAGACAAAAUUAAGUAAACCUUUCAAGGUUCAACCAACUAAUUUUAUUCCAGCUGGGACCUGAUGAUAUCCUAUUAGUAUUCUUGUCCCCACCUCCAGCCCUUAAGGUUACUGCUACAUAGGCCUAUAGCAUCACCUUCCUCCAGAUCAGUAUUCUUGUCCCCACCUCCAGCCCUUAAGGUUACUGCUACAUAGGCCUAUAGCAUCACCUUCCUCAAGAUCAGUAUUCUUGGCCCCACCUCCAGCCCUUAAGGUUACUGCUACAUAGGCCUAUAGCAUCACCUUCCUCCAGAUCAGUAUUCUUGGCCCCACCUCCAGCCCUUAAGGUUACUGCUACAUAGGCCUAUAGCAUCACCUUCCUCCAGAUCAGUAUUCUUG